rnacentral:lncRNA from 13 species
AUCCAUGAAACAACUAUAGCUCUAACCAUACUGUUGGAAGAGUGUGUGUUUGGUUGCAGGGUUACUGUAGGAAGAGUGUGUGUGUGUGUGUGUGGUUGCAGGGUUACUGUAGGAAGUGUGUGUGUGUGUGUGUGUGGUUGCAGGGUUUGUUUUACGGUGUUUCUCUGUUUAACGCUGACUGAGCUUCUUUUGAGGCCUCACCGACUCACUGUACAAAUGACUCUACCAUAUGAACAGUUGGAAGGGUGUCCAUCUUGUUUACAAACUUUGGAUGUGGCCUAGAAUUGCAGUCCCUCAGGGUAAGGGUUGAACUGGCUCGUUCCUCGAGUAUAGCAUUCGUGAGUCUACUUGCGUGUUUGCCAUGUCUCUUCCUUAAGAGGUCAGUAGAAGUUGCUUGAAGCUCGAGGGAGUAGGGUGAAGUUGCCCCCUAGACGCUGAUCUUGGGUCAAUGUUACAUUUCCCCCACUAAUGGUUAUUUGUUAGGAUUGGGGCAGGCAAAGAUGAUCCUAGAUCUGUACCUAAGAGAAACAUGCUUGCUUGUAUGUUAAAGUGCUUUGAGUAUAACAUCGGGGGGGGGGCCUACUUGCAUGUUGAGCUUAUUGGUUGAGUUCAGUCUAACACGGCAUCGUCAGUAGAUGUUCAUCGGUCUGUGUCUAGGAGAAACUUCACCCUGGAGCGAGGUGGAAUAACAGUCUCAACAGCAUCGGUCUGUGUCUAGGAGAAACUUCACCCUGGAGCGAGGUGGAAUAACAGUCUCAACAGCACCGGUCUGUGUCUCGGAGAAACUUCACCCUGGAGCGAGGUGGAAUAACAGUCUCAACAGCAUCGGCUUUGGUUGAUAGUGGUNNNNNNNNNNCACACACACACACACACACACACACACACACACACACACACACACACACACACACACACACACAACUGAAACUGAAACGGCUGUGAAAAGAGGAAGUCCAGUAUGAAGGGCACACCAGCCCUCUGAACUAACAUUAACCCGCGUCCUUCUCAAAACACAUUGGAGGACAAGGUUGAGGGACCUCU